GCAUUGGUAGCUCAGUGGUAGAAUUCUCAUCUUCUGUGUGGGAGGGCCAGGUUUGAUUCCUGGCAAGUGCA
rnacentral:tRNA from 1 species